GUGGGGAAUAUUGCACAAUGGGCGAAAGCCUGAUGCAGCAACGCCGCGUGAGUGAUGAAGGUCUUCGGAUUGUAAAGCUCUGUCUUUUGGGACGAUAAUGACGGUACCAAAGGAGGAAGCCACGGCUAACUACGUGCCAGCAGCCGCGGUAAUACGUAGGUGGCGAGCGUUGUCCGGAUUUACUGGGCGUAAAGGGUGCGUAGGCGGAUGUUUAAGUGAGAUGUGAAAUACCCGGGCUUAACUUGGGUGCUGCAUUUCAAACUGGAUAUCUAGAGUGCAGGAGAGGAGAAUGGAAUUCCUAGUGUAGCGGUGAAAUGCGUAGAGAUUAGGAAGAACACCAGUGGCGAAGGCGAUUCUCUGGACUGUAACUGACGCUGAGGCACGAAAGCGUGGGUAGCAAACAGGAUUAGAUACCCUGGUAGUCCACGCCGUAAACGAUGAGUACUAGGUGUAGGAGGUAUCGACCCCUUCUGUGCCGCAGUAAACACAUUAAGUACUCCGCCUGGGGAAGUACGAUCGCAAGAUUAAAACUCUAAAGUGAAUUGAC
rnacentral:rRNA from 1 species